UAACGAAUCUUCCGCAAUGGGCGCAAGCCUGACGGAGCAAUGCCGCGUGUGGGAUGAAGCGUCUCUGACGUGUAAACCACUGUCAGGGGUUAGAAACAAUGAUCAACCCCAAAGGAAGUGGCGACUAACUCUGUGCCAGCAGUCGCGGUAAUACAGAGGCCACAAGCGUUAGUCGGACUUACUGGGCGUAAAGGGUGCGUAGGCGGAAGGAUAAGUUAGUUGUGAAAGGCCUGGGCUUAACCUAGGAACUGCAAUUAAGACUGUCCAUCUAGAGUUGAGUAGAGGGGAGCGGAAUUUCCGGUGUAGCGGUGAAAUGCGUAGAUAUCGGAAGGAACAUCAGUUGCGAAGGCGGCUCUCUGGACUCAAACUGACGCUGAGGCACGAAAGCGUGGGUAGCGAACAGGAUUAGAUACCCCAGUAGUCCCUGAGCGGGCUGGCAAGGCGCAU
rnacentral:rRNA from 1 species